rnacentral:ncRNA from 10 species
UUACGACAUCAAGAACGCAUAUGCGUACCAACCGACUAUCUCGAAGCACGGUGGUUUAGAAUGUGGGUAGCUCUACCAAAAAUUCGAGCAAUC